rnacentral:pre_miRNA from 1 species
AGUGAAAGUGCUGGGUCAAAUGGUAACUCUAACCUUUUGGAGGAACUGCCAGACUAUUUUCUAAAGUGGCUGCACUGUUUUACGUUCCCAGCAGCAGU